CUUUUUAUUGUUUAUUUUCAUUUCAGAAAAAUGACAUCAUUGGUAAAAUGUCUAAACAACAGAUAUUCUGAUGACGACGACGAUCAGGAUGAAGAAUUACAGUUUGUGGUUUUCGUUUCCUCAUCUCCAGAAGCAAAACAAGGACUUCUACCACAUAUUAUCACACUUAAUGAUUACCACAUAG